rnacentral:rRNA from 1 species
CCUACGGGAGGCAGCAGUGGGGGAUAUUGCACAAUGGGGGAAACUCUGAUGCAGCGACGCCGCGUGGGCGAAGAAGUAUUUCGGUAUGUAAAGCCCUAUCAGCAGGGAAGAAGAAAUGACGGUACCUGAGUAAGAAGCACCGGCUAAAUACGUGCCAGCAGCAGCGGUAAUACGUAGGGUGCAAGCGUUAUCCGGAUUUACUGGGAGUAAAGGGAGCGCAGGCGGCACGGCAAGCCUGAUGCGAAAGCCCGCGGCCCAACCGCGGGACUGCAUUGGGAACUACCGGGCUGGAGUGCCGGAGAGGAGAGCGGAAUUCCAAGUGUAGCGGUGAAAUGCGUAGAGAUUAGGAGGAACACCAGUGGCGAAGGUGGCCUACUGGACGGUAACUGACGCUGAGGCUCGAAAGCGUGGGGAGCAAACAGGAUUAGAUACCCCUGUAGUC